AUAUUGACAUAGAUGAGGACACUAAUGGCUGGAACAGGGAGGUCACAUGAGUGGGCAGAGCAAGGAAAACUUUGAUUCAUUUGAACAGUUUUCAAGGAUAAACCACAACUUUAGGAGGUAGAAGACCUUAGAUUAGAUUUUUAUUUGAUCCAGUUCUGCUUUUAGCACAUUUUCACAUUUCUCACCUCCACCAACAAUGAAGCUGCAAGUAACACUGGCACUCAUCUGUGUGCUUUUCUCUAAAGCGCUGGCACUGAGGUGUUAUCAGUGCAUACCAGAGCUGUUUGGACACUGCACAGACACCCUGACUUACUGUGUCCAGAUCAGUGUGACAGCAAAACCGCCGUCUUGAACGUUGGUAAGAAAGACGUCAACACAAAAGAAUGAGACUCAGUCAGAAAUCUCUCCACUUAACCAUGGGCUGUGUUCACUAGGGGGUCAAAAACAUGAAAUACAUUCAAAGACAUGUGCAACAGCAGGGCAGUGUGUCACUGGGAGCCUAAACCUGGGACUUAUGAAAAUGACCUUCAACUCAAAAUGCUGCAGCACUGCUCUCUGCAACACACAGAAAGUGCCAGCUUUGCCACAAGGGUCUCCAAAUGGGAAGAUAUGUUAUGCCUGUAAUGAGGAUGGAUGCUCAGACACCGUGAGGUGUGAGGGAGAUCAAGAUCGCUGCAUCAGUGCCACAGUUAACUCUGGUGGUGUUAAAAUGACUAUGAGAGGAUGUGUGAGCAGAAGUCUCUGUGCUGAGGAUACAUCGAACAUAGAGGAAGCUGGAAUCACUGGAGACGUGAGCUGCUGUGAGGGGAACCUGUGUAACAGCGCUGCAGAUGUUAAGACGAGUCUCCUCAUUGUGCUGGUCUCUCUGCUCUCCUCCAUACUAUUCUUCUGAACUCUGUUGUGCUGAGGAACAAAUUAAUUUUUUUUUAUUUCUAUUUUUCAAGACGAUCAGAGUUAUGUAUUACAAGGUGACCAACUGCACAGUCUGAAUGUUUAUAAUCAUUUUUUUCUUACUGAAAUUAGUUGAAUAAACAGUAUGAAGACUA